rnacentral:tRNA from 1 species
UGAUAGGUUAAUACAAACUGUGGGGUUCAUGUCCCCAAUAUACACUUUUGUGUUUAGUCAA